rnacentral:lncRNA from 1 species
CUUUAUCCAAAGCCCCCGGCUAUCAAGAGUGAGCCUACAGCUUGAAGAUAUAGCAAGGCUUUGCUGAGUCCGCACAAGUCAGCAGAGGUGGCCAGAAUCAGCUGGAACACCACGAGAAGUUCUUCUACGAAGUGAAGACCAGCGAAGCGUUGCACAGUCCAGCAAUAUGAUCCUGAGCCUGUGAUGUAUCCUGCCUGGAGGCUUUGUGUGCACAUCCCAGAACAACUGCUCUCCAUCCCGCAGAGGGAUGUGCAUAACGUGGGCAUUUUCACCGCUGUAAUGAUGCCUGGGGACAGGGGAUAUGACAUUUAGUAGCCAAGAGACAAAGAUGCCAGCUGUCUCAAUGCAUAGACCCCUCCACAGUGACCAAGUGUCUUAUCUCCUGUAUGACUUCUCAGUGUGUUUCUGGACAUAUCACAAGCGGAAAACAAACAAACACCAAAGACCUCUGUAUACUGUUGGAGUUGAAAACCUAGCUCUAAGUUAGAUGGAUAAGGAAGUCAUUGGUGUACAUGGACUUCAUUUUCCAUGAAUGCAACUGCUAUAAAGACUGGUCCUUUGCUGGUUUAAAACUUCCAGGCAUUGGUGAGAUGGUUCAGCAGGAGCUUGCUGCCAAAGCCUAAGGUCCUGCAUUGGAUGCUCAGGACCCACUGAGUGGUAGGAGAGAACCGACUCCUUCAAGUGACUCUCUGAUCUCCACACAUGUCAUGACAAGCAUCUUAAACAUACAUAAAAAUUAAUUAAUUAAAAAACUUUUCCAGGAGUUGCUCACCAUUUCAGACAAUCCUAUUAGCUUCAGCACCUCAGCAGCUUAUAAACACAGCUGUGCAGCUUCAAGGCUGAAAUUCUCACACUCUUCAACAGCCCUCUGACUGUUUACAACUACACGCAUUGAGCCCCUGUUUCAAAGGGUCAUAUGGUUAAAGUUUCAAAACUGUUUAGUGAAUAUUAAGCUACUUCUCAUAUGUGUAAAUUCAUUCACCAACUCCUCCUCCCUCAUUGUUAAAGCCUAGGUUAUGUCCCUGGACUCACACGGUGUGACAAAGAGAGCAGGUUGCCCACUGAUCUCCACACAGGCUCUUCAGCGUGUGUGCACAAGUACGCAUACACAUACACACAUUAAUAAAUAUUAAUGCAAUCAUUUUGACAAAAAGAAAAUGUGAGGCUAAAACCCCUGUCUUUAAAAUUGUUCCUUUGCGUGUAGUUCAGUGAACUCUGAGCCCUUCCUGGUGAUCUCCUGCCUGGUUUUGACUCUGUUUGUCCCUGUGGUGGCAGGUGUUAACAGCCUCUAGUAUUGAACCCUUCCCCCCAAGUGAAACAGGCACAUGUGUAGGGAAGCCAUACUGUUUUUCAAAUAGUAAUGCCUUCCUGCCCAAAGCAGGAGCAGAAAGAACUGCUAUUCCAAAAGCGAGACUGAUGCAGGAUGUAGGUUUAUUUAGAUGAUAAAGAAACCGUGGCUAACACUGCACUUUUUCAACAUAACUUGAAGUUGUACAUCCAGGGAGUGAGAGAGAAUCCCAGGGGUUCAGUGAAGUCCCUGUGUUAGGUUCUGGAAGAUGCUGGUUUUCAUUUCAGCAUUCCGUGAUCAAGUCAUGCGUUCUCUCAGCCUCUUUAUUCACCUUAUGAAGGAAGCACUGGACUAGGUCAGGAAAUGCC